rnacentral:rRNA from 1 species
GGGUGAGUAAUGUCUGGGGAUCUGCCCGAGGGCGGGGGAUAACCACUGGAAACGGUGGCUAAUACCGCAUAAUGUCGCGAGACCAAAGUGGGGGACCUGAAAGGGCCUCACGCCGUCGGAUGAACCCAGAUGGGAUUAGCURGUAGGUAGGGUAAAGGCCUACCUAGGCGACGAUCCCUAGCUGGUCUGAGAGGAUGACCAGCCACACUGGGACUGAGACACGGCCCAGACUCCUACGGGAGGCAGCAGUGGGGAAUAUUGCACAAUGGGCGCAAGCCUGAUGCAGCCAUGCCGCGUGUAUGAAGAAGGCCUUCGGGUUGUAAAGUACUUUCAGCGGGGAGGAAGGGUUCAGCUUGAACAGAGCUGGAUUUUGACGUUACCCGCAGAAGAAGCACCGGCUAACUCCGUGCCAGCAGCCGCGGUAAUACGGAGGGUGCAAGCGUUAAUCGGAAUGACUGGGCGUAAAGCGCACGCAGGCGGUCAAUUAAGUUAGAUGUGAAAUCCCCGGGCUCAACCUGGGAAUGGCAUCUAAGACUGGUUGGCUGGAGUCUCGUAGAGGGGGGUAGAAUUCCAUGUGUAGCGGUGAAAUGCGUAGAGAUGUGGAGGAAUACCGGUGGCGAAGGCGGCCCCCUGGACGAAGACUGACGCUCAGGUGCGAAAGCGUGGGGAGCAAACAGGAUUAGAUACCCUGGUAGUCCACGCUGUAAACGAUGUCGAUUUGGAGGUUGUGGCCUUGAGCUGUGGCUUCCGAAGCUAACGCGUUAAAUCGACCGCCUGGGGAGUACGGCCGCAAGGUUAAAACUCAAAUGAAUUGACGGGGGCCCGCACAAGCGGUGGAGCAUGUGGUUUAAUUCGAUGCAACGCGAAGAACCUUACCUACUCUUGACAUCCAGAGAAGACCUCAGAGAUGAGGUUGCGCCUUCGGGAGCUCUGAGACAGGUGCUGCAUGGCUGUCGUCAGCUCGUGUUGUGAAAUGUUGGGUUAAGUCCCGCAACGAGCGCAACCCUUAUCCUUUGUUGCCAGCGCGUAAUGGCGGGAACUCAAAGGAGACUGCCGGUGAUAAACCGGAGGAAGGUGGGGAUGACGUCAAGUCAUCAUGGCCCUGACGAGUAGGGCUACACACGUGCUACAAUGGCGGAUACAAAGUGAAGCGACCUCGCGAGAGCAAGCGGAACACACAAAGUCUGUCGUAGUCCGGAUUGGAGUCUGCAACUCGACUCCAUGAAGUCGGAAUCGCUAGU